rnacentral:rRNA from 1 species
ACGUAGGGUGCGAGCGUUAAUCGGAAUUACUGGGCGUAAAGCGCGUGCAGGUGGCUCUAUAAGUCAGAUGUGAAAUCCCCGGGCUUAACCUGGGAACUGCGUUUGUAACUGGAGAGCUUGAGUGCUGUAGAGGGGGGUGGAAUUCCAGGUGUAGCGGUGAAAUGCGUAGAGAUGUGGAGGAACACCAGUGGCGAAGGCAGCCCCCUGGGUAGACACUGACGCUCA